rnacentral:rRNA from 1 species
GAGCGAACGCUGGCGGCAGGCCUAACACAUGCAAGUCGAACGCACCUUCGGGUGAGUGGCGGACGGGUGAGUAACACGUGGGAACGUACCUUUUGGUUCGGAACAACACAGGGAAACUUGUGCUAAUACCGGAUGAGCCCUAUGGGGGAAAGAUUUAUCGCCGAAAGAGCGGCCCGCGUUAGACUAGCUAGUUGGUGGGGUAAAGGCCCACCAAGGCUCCGAUCUAUAGCUGGUCUGAGAGGAUGAUCAGCCACACUGGGACUGAGACACGGCCCAGACUCCUACGGGAGGCAGCAGU